ACAUACUUCUUUAUGUACCCAUAUGAACAUACAUUGCUAUGGAAUGUAAAGAAGUAUGUAU
rnacentral:pre_miRNA from 1 species